rnacentral:rRNA from 1 species
UAGAAAGUAAGUAAGGGUGUAUGGUGGAUGCCUUGGCUCUUAGAGGCGAUGAAAGACGUGAUAAGCUGCGAUAAGCUUUGGGGAGGUGCAAACAACCUAUGAUCCGAAGAUUUCUGAAUGGGGCAACCCAGCCAAUUUAUUGGUUAUCUGAUUAUAUCAGAGGCAAACCCGGAGAACUGAAACAUCUAAGUACCCGGAGGAAGAGAAAACAAAAGUGAUUCCGUUAGUAGUGGCGAUCGAACGCGGAUUAGCCCAAACCAAUUACGUUUCGGCGUAAUUGGGGUUGUAGGACUGCAAUAUGAGAUUAUGCGUGAAGUGGAAGUAACUGGAAAGUUACACCAAAGAGGGUGAAAGUCCUGUACACGUAAGCAAAUAUGAUCUAGCAGUAUCCUGAGUAGGGCGGGGCACGUGAAACCCUGUCUGAAUCUGCCAGGACCAUCUGGUAAGGCUAAAUACUCCUAAGAGACCGAUAGUGAACCAGUACCGUGAGGGAAAGGUGAAAAGUACCCCGAACAGGGGAGUGAAAAAGUACCUGAAACCAUACACUUACAAGCGGUCGGAGCAUAUUUAUAUGUGACGGCGUGCCUUUUGCAUAAUGAGCCUACGAGUUACUCCUCACUGGCAAGGUUAAUAGUUUAAGGCUAGGAGCCGAAGCGAAAGCGAGUCUGAAUAGGGCGCUAAAGUCAGUGGGGGUAGACGCGAAACCGUGUGAUCUACCCAUGGGCAGGUUGAAGUCUUGGUAACACAAGAUGGAGGACCGAACCAGGGAGCGUUGAAAAGCUCUUGGAUGACCUGUGGGUAGGGGUGAAAGGCCAAUCAAACUCGGAAAUAGCUCGUACUCCCCGAAAUGCAUUUAGGUGCAGCCUUGGAUAUAGUAUUGCAGAGGUAGAGCUACUGAUUGGAUGCGAGGGCUUCACCGCCUAUCAACUCCAGACAAACUCCGAAUGCUGUAAUAUGAUUACCAGGAGUGAGGGCAUGGGUGCUAAGGUCCAUGUCCGAAAGGGAAAGAACCCGGACCAUCAGCUAAGGUCCCCAAGUAUAUGUUAAGUUGAACAAACGAGGUCUGAUUGCAUAGACAGCUAGGAUGUUGGCUUGGAAGCAGCCAUUCAUUUAAAGAGUGCGUAACAGCUCACUAGUCGAGCGAUCGGGCAUGGAUAAUAAUCGGGCAUUAAACAUAUCACCGAAGCUAUGGAUUUAAUGGACUACCAUUAAGUGGUAGGGGAGCAUUCUAACCAGCGUUGAAUGCAUACUGUGAGGUGUGCUGGAGCGGUUAGAAAAGCAAAUGUAGGCAUAAGUAACGAUAAGGGGGGCGAGAAACCCCCCCGCCGAUAGACUAAGGUUUCCUGAUCAACGCUAAUCGGAUCAGGGUUAGUCGGGACCUAAGGGAAAGCCGAACGGCGAACUCGAUGGACAACAGGUUAAUAUUCCUGUACUUUGUAUAAUUGUGAUGGGGCGACGGAGUGAUGAAAGCACCGCGUACUGACGGAAUAGUACGUUGAAGGGCUUAGGUUAUGAUAUGUGUAGGCAAAUCCGCACAUUGAGCUGAAACCUGAUAGUACCAAGCGUCUUCGGACAAUUGGAUAGUGUGCCUAAGGGCUUCCAAGAAAAACCUCUAAACGUAGAUUAUACAGACCCGUACCGCAAACCGACACAGGUAGUCAAGGAGAGAAUCCUGAGGCGCUCGAGUGAUUCAUGGCUAAGGAACUAGGCAAAAUCGAUCCGUAACUUCGGGAGAAGGAUCGCUCCUCGUAAGGGGAGCCGCAGUGAAAAGGCCCAGGCGACUGUUUAUCAAAAACACAGGGCUUUGCUAAAUCGAAAGAUGAUGUAUAAGGCCUGACACCUGCCCGGUGCCGGAAGGUUAAGUGGGGGCGUUAUCUUCGGAGAAGCGCUGAAAUGAAGCCCCGGUAAACGGCGGCCGUAACUAUAACGGUCCUAAGGUAGCGAAAUUCCUUGUCGGGUAAGUUCCGACCUGCACGAAUGGUGCAACGAUCUGGGCACUGUCUCAGCCAUGAGCUCGGUGAAAUUGAAGUAUCGGUGAAGAUGCCGAUUACCCGCAACGGGACGGAAAGACCCCGUGAACCUUUACUGCAACUUCACAUUGAUUCUGGGCAUGUAAUGUGUAGGAUAGGUCGGAGACAAUGAAGCGGCGUCGCUAGGCGUUGUGGAGUCGUCCUUGAAAUACGACCCUUUGCCUGUUUGGAACCUAACUCAGCGAUGAGGACAUUGUGUGGUGGGUAGUUUGACUGGGGUGGUCGCCUCCAAAAGAGUAACGGAGGCUUCUAAAGGUACCCUCAAGACGAUUGGUAACCGUCUGUAGAGUGUAAUGGCACAAGGGUGCUUGACUGUGAGACCAACAAGUCGAUCAGGUACGAAAGUAGAGCAUAGUGAUCCGGUGGUUCCGUAUGGAAGGGCCAUCGCUCAAAGGAUAAAAGGUACUCCGGGGAUAACAGGCUGAUCGCUCCCAAGAGCUCAUAUCGACGGAGCGGUUUGGCACCUCGAUGUCGGCUCGUCACAUCCUGGGGCUGGAGAAGGUCCCAAGGGUUGGGCUGUUCGCCCAUUAAAGUGGCACGCGAGCUGGGUUCAGAACGUCGUGAGACAGUUCGGUCCCUAUCUGUUGUGGGCGCAGGAAACUUGAGAGAAGCUGCUGCUAGUACGAGAGGACCGCGGUGGACAAACCUCUGGUGUAUCAGUUGUGCCGCCAGGUGCAUUGCUGAGUAGCUACGUUUGGAAGAGAUAAGUGCUGAAAGCAUCUAAGCACGAAGCUCCACUCAAGAUGAGGUUUCCUUAGAGGGUCGUUGGAGACUACGACGUUGAUAGGCUGCAGGUGUAAAGGUUGCGAGACCAAAGCCGAGCAGUACUAAUUACCCGAAACUUUCAUUA